rnacentral:rRNA from 1 species
CAGCCGCCGCGGUAAUACGAAGGGGGCUAGCGUUGUUCGGAUUUACUGGGCGUAAAGCGCACGUAGGCGGAUUCUUAAGUCAGAGGUGGAAUCCCAAGGCUCAACCUUGGAACUGCCUUUGAUACUGGGGAUCUCGAGUCCGGGAGAGGUGAGUGGAACUGCGAGUGUAGAGGUGAAAUUCGUAGAUAUUCGCAAGAACACCAGUGGCGAAGGCGGCUCACUGGCCCGGUACUGACGCUGAGGUGCGAAAGCGUGGGGAGCAAACAGGAUUAGAUACCCCAGUAGUCCCUGUCUCUUAUAC